GUAGGUGGCAAGCGUUGUCCGGAAUUAUUGGGCGUAAAGCGCGCGCAGGCGGUUCUUUAAGUCUGAUGUGAAAGCCCACGGCCCAACCGUGGAGGGUCAUUGGAAACUGGAGAACUUGAGUACAGAAGAGGAAAGCGGAAUUCCACGUGUAGCGGUGAAAUGCGUAGAGAUGUGGAGGAACACCAGUGGCGAAGGCGGCUUUCUGGUCUGUAACUGACGCUGAGGCGCGAAAGCGUGGGGAGCAAACAGGGAUUAGAUACCCUGGUAGUCCACGCCGUAAACGAUGAGUGCUAAGUGUUAGGGGGUUUCCCGCCCCUUAGUGCUGCAGCUAACGCAUUAAGCACUCCGCCUGGGGAUACGGCCGCAAGGCUG
rnacentral:rRNA from 1 species